rnacentral:lncRNA from 1 species
AAAGAACAGUUCCAUAACCUUUCCCCCCCUCACUGUAGGUGACUUUUUCCUUUGAGGCUGGCAGACGCUGUGUCUCUGGAGAGGGCAGCUUUGAGUUUGAAACACGACAAGGCAAUGAGAUCUUCCAAGCCCUAGAAAAGGCCAUUGCUGCCCAGAAGAAUGCCACCCCUUCUGGGCCUCCGACCCUGCCAGCCACAGGGUCCAUGAUGCCUACUGCGCUGCCUCGACCUGAAAGCCCCUAUUCCCGGCCCCACGACUCUCUGCCUUCUCCAUCCCCUGGCACACCGGUGCCUGGCAUAAGGUCAGGGGGCUCUGAGGGGGAAUAUGCUGUGCCUUUUGACACAGUGGUUCACUCCCUGAAGAAGAGCUUCAGGGGCAUCCUGACAGGUCCUCCUCCACUCCUUCCUGACCCACUAUAUGACAGCAUCCAGGAGGAUCCUGUGGUCCCUCUACCUGACCAUAUAUAUGAUGAACCUGAGGGUGUGGCUGCCCUCUCCCUCUACGAGAGAUCACAGAAGCCCUCAGGGGAGACAUGGAGGGAGCAGGCCACUGCUGAUGGGGGUACCAACUCCCUCCAGCAAGACUCCUCUGUGUCUGGCUGGCCACAGGUAACUGAGUAUGACAAUGUCAUACUUAAAAAAGGCCCAAAGUAAGGGGAUGGCCAGGAGAUGGGAUAUGUGGCUCCCAAGGAGGUCUUUGGAAGAUGUGGAUGGGAAAUGGGGGACUUCUGGGAGAGUCCUUUUUUGGUUACUGUCCCUUCCUGGGCCCAACGUUUGCUGUGCCUUAUUUGUGUACUGUGUGAGUCACUAUCGUGGAGCAGGAAGAGGGCCCUGGAGGGACCCACCCUCCUCCUACACUUUUCCACUUCCUCCCACUGCCUUGGGUCUCAAGGGAACUGGGGCCAUUUCUCUUAAAGACAGAGGAUUUCCGCAGAUGUCCUGGCUCCUUGGUAUGUACAGGCCUUCUGCCUAUAGAUGUUCUGACCCUUGGACAACCCUGGCUUCAGGGUAACAAUAAGAGUGGCUGUUGUUCCCCCCCUGGCUUCCAGAGUUUUCUAGACAUUAAACCAAUUUUGAACUACUCCUUUGUGGCCUGAAUGCUGUGAGGUUGGAAGAAGCUGGGGCUGACCUGCUGAAUGCUUCUUCCCCUGGCUGUGAUGUCUUUCCUGGGCCUAUGCCAGGUCCUCAGCAUCUGUCUACAGAGUCAAGGCCCCGAAGGUCUGGGUCCCUAGGAAAAUGUUUAUCUUGAUCUGUUUUCUGUUGCUAUAACUGAAUACCAUAGUCUAGGUAUUUUAUGAAGAAGAAAGAUUUUAUUUUCAGCUCAUGGAUCUUCAGGCUGGGGAGUCCACAAACACAAAGUGUGCUUCUGGUGAGGGCCUUCUUGCGUGAUAGUACCACAGCGGACAUGGCAUGCCAAGAAGACAGUAAGCAUACAUGGAGAGAGGAAAGCUGUUCCCUAGAUAUUGCGCUAGUCCUCAAAUGACUUAAUUCAUCUACAAAAGCAGUACCCUCAUUGGCCAAUCCCAAAGGCUCCACCUCCAAAUCCAUGAGCAUAUAUAACUUUGGAGAUUUUUGUUUUCAACAUAUGACACGUCCAUUCAAAGCAUGAAAAACCUUCAAACGUCCACUUUUUUACUUUUUACGAGGACAGAAAAAUGGGAGUGGAUGUGUUGAUGCAGUUGAUGGCAAACCUGGAUUUUGAGAAAGACUUGGCCUUUAACAUAUUUUACAUUUAUUUACUUCUUCUGUGUGGGCAGGCAGGUGGGGCUUGUGCCACUUUUCUCGAGGAGGAUGAAGGACAACUUGCCGGAGUCAGCUCUCUCCUUCUCAUGAGCCCCAAGGUCUGUGUGACUUUUAUGCACUAAAAAUAAGACUUACAGGCUGGAGAGAUGACUCAGCGGUUAAGAACACUGACUGCUCUUCCAGAGGUUCUGAGUUCAAAUUCCAGCAACCAUGUGGUGGCUCACAACCAUUUGUAAUGAGAUCUGAUGCCUGUUUCGGGUAUGUCUGAAGACAGCAACAGUGUACUUAUAAUAAAAAAAUAGAUAAGUAAAUAAAUAAAUCUUUAAAAAAAAGAG